rnacentral:misc_RNA from 1 species
GAUGAAGAACGCAGCGAAAUGCGAUAAGUAAUGUGAAUUGCAGAAUUCAGUGAAUCAUCGAAUCUUUGAACGCACCUUGCGCCCUUUGGCCAUUCCGAAGGGCAUGCCUGUUUGAGUAUCAUGAACACCUCAACUCUCAUGGCUCGCCAUGAUGAGCUUGGACUUUGGGGGUCUUGCUGGCCUGUGGUCGGCUCCUCUCAAAUGGAUCAGCUUGCCAGUGUUUGGUGGCAUCACAGGUGUGAUGACUAUCUGCGCUUGUGGUUUUCCAUCAGAUAACCUUCAGUGAUGGAGGUUCGCUGGAGCUCAUAAACGUCUCCCCUAAGCGGGGACAGCCCUUUGAAUGUUUGAUCUCAAAUCAGGUAGGACUACCCGCUGAACUUAAGCAUAUCAAUAAGCGGAGGA